AUGGCUAUGGCGGGUACCUGCGGGAGAACAGAGAAAGAGACAGGGGGUGUGAGGGAGAAGGAAGGAGAAGGAAGAGAGGAAGGGAAGGUUCGCAGGAAGCCCUCCGGCGGGGCGGGAGGGGGGGCGAUCCAGGGCGGAGUGGCGACCUCGUCGCAGGAGGAAUCGGGGGAGAGCGAGCUGCGGGAGCCACCCAGUGCGCCGCCGCGGCGCACCGCCUUCUAUCCACCUAGCACGUCGUCGUCCUACCCCGCAGCGCACAGCUGCCCCAUCAAGCCUCCCGACCACCGCCGGCCGGCGCUGCUCCACCAUCCCCAUGCCACACCGCUCCUCCCCUGGUUCUUCCCCAACGCGGAUCUGGAUCAGGGUCAUCCAGGUGCUCGCCGUGGACGAGGAAGGCUGCCAACUGCUGUGUGCGCGGCCUCUCGACUCCGCCCCACCCGUGCCUCCUCGCUGUUUUGCCUCUAG
rnacentral:rRNA from 1 species